rnacentral:lncRNA from 1 species
AUUUGUACCUGCAGGGAAAGAAGGGAUUCAAAGGGGAGCAAGGGGACAAGGGAGAACUGGGAGAGAUUGGACCAAUUGGACCACAAGGACCCACAGGACUCAGGGGACCGAUGGGGUUAAAAGGAGAUGAGGGUCCAAGAGGAGCCCCUGGCGAUCCUGCAAAGGGUAUAAUUGGUCCUACUGGAAAAAAGGGUGCCAGAGGAGACAUCGGUCCAAUUGGCCCCACAGGCCCCCAGGGAAUAAAGGGUGAACGAGGAGACAAAGGAGAAAAGGGAAGUCCUGGGUUUGGGAUUCCAGGACAGCAGGGACCAAAAGGAGAGAAUGGCGAGAGGGUGAGUGACUUGAAACUCCGACUCACCCACGUGACACUUGC